AACGAACGCUGGCGGCGUGCCUAACACAUGCAAGUCGAGCGCGAAAGCCUUCGGGUGAGUAGAGCGGCGCACGGGUGAGUAACACGUAGGUAAUCUCCCUUCAGGACUGGAAUAACCCAGGGAAACUUGGGCUAAUACCGGAUAAGACCACAGAUCGUUGGUGAUGUGGGAAAAGCAGAGGACCCCUUCGGGGGCUUUGUACCAGAAGAUGAGCCUGCGGCCCAGCAGCUAGUUGGCGGGGGUAAUGGCCCACCAAGGCUUAGACGGGUAGCUGGUCUGAGAGGAUGAUCAGCCACACUGGAACUGACACACGGUCCAGACUCCUACGGGAGGCAGCAGUGGGGAACUUUGCGCAAUGGGCGAAAGCCUGACGCAGCAACGCCGCGUGAGUGAUGAAGGUCUUCGGAUCGUAAAGCUCUGUCGGAGGGAACGACGGGAGAACUGGCCAAUAUCCAGGGCUCUUGACGGUACUCUCAAAGGAAGCACCGGCUAACUCUGUGCCAGCAGCCGCGGUAA
rnacentral:rRNA from 1 species